rnacentral:lncRNA from 1 species
CACUCAGUCCUCAUGUGUCCUUUUAUAUUGCAGAAAUCACAAAAAGCAUUAGGAUUAUAAGGUCUUCUAGGUUUAUUACUACUAGGACCAGAUUUAGAGAUAAACAUUGCAGUAGGAACCAUAUCAGGCAUCAUCCUACUUGAUCCGGCUACCAUUCUCUGACUUUCAUCUUGAUUAACCAUAGCAUAAGCUUGAUUGAUGCUUGGAAGUUGUGGCAUCAACAGGAUCUGACUCCUAGCUUGACUAUAGUUGUCAUUAAGUCCCAUAAGAAAUUGCAACAUCCUUUGAUGUUGUGAUUGUUCAAAAAAUUCCUUAGAUCUAGAACAUGUACAAGCAGGGGGAGGCAUUAUAGAAUCAUAUUCAUCCCACAAAUCCUUUAGUCUAGAGUAGUAAAUUGAUACAGACGAAACACCUUGAACAAGAGUAAAAAUCUCCUUAUGCAGCUGAAAAAUACGAGAGCUAUUUACCUUGUUAAACCUUUCCUUUAAGUCUUCCCAAAUCAAAUGAGAAUCUGAGCAAUAAAGAACUCCACUGUGAAGAUCUUUACUUACGUUGCAUAGUAUCCAUGAGACAACGAUUGCAUUACACCGAUCCCAAAGCCGAGUUAAAUCCCCUGUGAAUUGAGUCUUCUGCACCGUGCCAUCAAUAAAUC